GAUGAACGCUGGCGGCGUGCCUAAUACAUGCAAGUCGAGCGAACAGAUGAGGAGCUUGCUCCUCUGACGUUAGCGGCGGACGGGUGAGUAACACGUGGAUAACCUACCUAUAAGACUGGGAUAACUUCGGGAAACCGGAGCUAAUACCGGAUAAUAUAUUGAACCGCAUGGUUCAAUAGUGAAAGACGGUUUUGCUGUCACUUAUAGAUGGAUCCGCGCCGCAUUAGCUAGUUGGUAAGGUAACGGCUUACCAAGGCGACGAUGCGUAGCCGACCUGAGAGGGUGAUCGACCACACUGGAACUGAGACACGGUCCAGACUCCUACGGGAGGCAGCAGUAGGGAAUCUUCCGCAAUGGGCGAAAGCCUGACGGAGCAACGCCGCGUGAGUGAUGAAGGUCUUCGGAUCGUAAAACUCUGUUAUUAGGGAAGAACAAAUGUGUAAGUAACUAUGCACGUCUUGACGGUACCUAAUCAGAAAGCCACGGCUAACUACGUG
rnacentral:rRNA from 1 species